UUUUUUCCUUCUACCGGCCCGCGCUCGCACGUGGAAACGAUAAGCGCCUCGUGAAAUUGCAUUAUUGUUGCGUUACAGAGGUGCCCCCGGGAUUCCGUCGAUAUAAACGCCGUAACGAAAAAAUGUACACAUACAUUUUUAACACGCGCACCAACAGUAAUAAUAAUUAUGUUAUAAUAAUAUUUUAGAAAUGGCGCGUUCGGCCGGUUGUAAUCGUUUAAAAAAAUAAUUGACGACAAUAUUUGAG